UAAAAAAAAGAGGAGUUGGCCUUCCUCGUGAAACUAUGCUUGAUGGAGGGAACAGCCAAUCGCAACAAGUAUUGCGGCAAUAUUCUGGGCAAUAGUCCAAUAGUCUGAUGUAUCUCAUAAAUGGCUGAGUGUGCCAGAUGACACUAUGCUCUCUAUAUUGAAAAUGCCUCAACCCAAUGCGACCAGCCCUAACUGCUAUAUAGAGGUACUGUACUCCUGGCUUCAAACUGAUUGGAAACUCCUCUCUACAGACUGCGUUUCUAUUAACUCGAUGUGUACUUCUAUUAACUCUACUGCACCUAUUCAUUCAGGACUAACAUUAUUUCCCUCUAAAAUAAAUAAGAGGCAGUCACAACCUUCAGUUUCCUUAUCUGCAAGAAAAUGGACAUACAGUAAUUCAGUGAAUGUUUCACUAACAUCUGUGAACACUUACAUCUACAGACGCCGAGCAGUGAAAGGGAACCACAGAAGGUUGUGGGUGUUGCUGUGUUGCCCAACCUUAGCGGUCCUCAGGAAGGUGGCGGUGCUUCAACUUCCGGACUACAACUGAUCGACUUCUCAGGCCAUUUUAGAGGACAAUUAAAAGUCAGAAAUAUUGAUUACA